UACGUAGGGGGCAAGCGUCGUCCGGAUUUAUUGGGCGUAAAGAGCGUGUAGGCGGCCUGACAGGUCUGCUGUGAAAACUCGAGGCUCAACCUCGAGAUGUCGGCGGAAACCGUCUGGCUAGAGUCCGGAAGAGGAGACUGGAAUACUUGGUGUAGCAGUGAAAUGCGUAGAUAUCAAGUGGAACACCAGUGGCGAAGGCGAGUCUCUGGACAUUUCCUGACGCUGAGGCACGAAAGCCAGGGGAGCAAACGGG
rnacentral:rRNA from 1 species